GUUUUAUGCUUGAUCUCUGAAAGUCAGGUAAUUUGAAAUGAUGAAAACACUUGCUACUGAUGCA